AUGAUAGGUAUUUCUUCUGUGAGGAAGAUUUGAGUUGAAGGAACGUUUCUUCAUACCAUCUUCCCUCUAGCAGCUAAGGAAUUCCUUUGAUAGAGUUUCACUGAUUUAGAAGAGGCCUUCUUCAAAAGCUCAAUGUUUUCAAAAGCUAAGUCCUCAUGCUACAGAUGGAGCCUGCAAAACUUGUGAUCUGCCUGAAAACAAGUUCUGGUUGUGGUCAAGAUGUAGCCCAUCCUGAGGUGCUGCAAGGAGCAAGAGAGGCCCUUCAACUGUGGUUUGCAUGAGGUAGGUGAGCAAUAUACUGAGACACAGUUCGUUUUGACUUUGCAUUCUUCUGCCUGAGGACAUAAUUGAGAAUAACUUUUUUUAAAGGAAAUUAAAUUUUGACCAAAAUUG